rnacentral:lncRNA from 1 species
UAUUGAUGCCACCCUUCCGACCUCAUAUGCUAGAACAAUCACAGUAUGACACCACGUCAGAAUCGUACAAUGUGCCUCCUUAAAGAGCACUCCGUUUUUCUUUCAAAAGCACUUUGGUUGAACCUCAACACUGUGAAUGAUUUUCAUAGGCAGAGCUUGUGGGAGAUUUUGGAGAGGUCACUUUAAUUACUGUACCUUUAUUACAGCACAUGACAUAAGUCUUUGUAUUACACACCUGUGUGAUAUGGUUCUGUAUAAGUCACAAAGGUAAAAUUAAAAAAAAAAAAAACUUUGUUCCUGUGAGAGUGGGAACCCUGAAACUCACACACACACACACACACACACACACACACACACACACACACACACACGUCACCUGUCAAGAAACAAAUAACAUUUAAUAAGCUCAUAAGCAUGUUGCAAAAUACAUGAGAAAUUAUUAGCAAUCUAAAGAUAUAUUCUUAGAAAGUCUUAAGGAAUACUCUAAUAGAAAAUGAGGGAAGAUAAAGACUAGGGAACUGCAGUGAAAUUUUCAUAACAGUUUUCCCAAAUAUUCAUUUUAGCUUAAAGGUUCAACAGAUGCAUAAAAGAAAACCGACUUGUACCUUUUAAUGAGGCAUGGCACAACGUCAGUACAUAUAACCAUUAUGCAAUGCUUGAAUCAGGUUAUAAGUAUUUGUCUUGUUUAUCAUUUCUCUAGGUGGAAGCUUUCAAAACCCUUUCUCCUAGGUUUUAAAACUGUAUCAUUAACGGAAGUUACCAGGCUGCUGUUUAUCACCUCAGAACUUCCACCACUAGCCAUAACAUGGUGACUGAUAACCAACCUCAAAAAAAAAAAAAAAAAAAAAAAAAAAAAAAAAAACCUUAAAUAGUAACUGUAAUGUGAAAUUACAAAAAAAAAAAGUUCUGUUCAAUAACAUUACAAGAAAAGAUAUUAGUUAAUGGGGAAUGAGAUGUUUUAGUCUACAAAAUAAGUAAAUAGGCAAAGCCAACUGUAUUUUGACAACGCCCAGCCUUGUGGCCCUGUUUCCUGCAUGCAGUUCCCCUCACCCCAUUCUGACUCAUUACUCAUGAGUUCUUAUGAGAAAUGGCUGGGCACUCUGCCUCUAGGGUCUCACCAUGUGCUCCUUCUACCUAGAAUGUCUUUGCCCACUUAGCUCUGGGUAUAUAAUCCCUUCCUGGUUCUCACCAACAUAGUCUACUUCUUUUCUUUUGCUUUCUAGAAGUUUCUGCAGUUCUUCGGGGACCGCUUGUCUCCUCAGCAUCUCUUCUAUGCUGGGAGAUACUCACAGAGGGCAGCAUGGUUUGCUCAUCAUGAGCCUACAUAUAUGCUUAGCAUGGCCACCUGCUUCAGACAGUUAAACAGGAGAAUGCAUUAAUGGAUUUAUCAUGACAUGUGAAGGUUCUCCAAAGAUAAUGUGAUGUGUACGGUCUGUUGAGUCUUGUGGAAUUAUUUCAUGGUCAGAGAUCAUGAAACGCCUCAAAAUGGCUAAGGUUCAAAUCAUAGGAUGAAUGCAGCUUUCAAAGUUACAAAUAUUAAAAGCUAUUCAUGUAGCCAUACACACUCUAUGCCUUGAUAUUAGUGACUCAUGUCUAAGGACACAUAGUAGGACUGCAGCAAUCACAACUAUUUCUAUCUUCAAGGGAGAAAUGGGGGAGAGAGUAUGAGAGGGAGGAGGGGAGGAAACGAUAGAAAUAGCCUAUGUGUUCCACUCAGAGGAAGUAGCAGAUUCAAUUAAGGUACAUCCAUGCAUUGAAACACUUUGCAGCUGUUAAAACGCUGCAUACCUCAUAGGAAGAUAAGCCCCUGGCACAGACUUAGUGCCGAAGCUAAGAGAAACCUGUUAUGUACAGGGCAUGUGAAUUCCUUGUCCCUCCCUCUCCAUCUCUUCUUACACAUACACACACACACACACACACACACACACACACACACACACACACACACAGCAAAUAGAAAGAAAAACAACAAAAAGUCCCACUAAGAAUGGUUAAAUUUUUAUAUGAAAAGAUUAAUAGUUACCUAAAUGACUGUUCAUCACUUGU